UGUGCAUCAUUGCAGCAUGAAUACAUAGUGCUGCAAGGCGAACCUGGGGAACUGAAACAUCUAAGUACCCAGAGGAAAAGAAAUCAACCGAGAUUCCCCCAGUAGCGGCGAGCGAACGGGGAACAGCCCGGAACCAUCAUCAGUUUGUGUGUCAGUGGAAGCGUCUGGAAAGUCGCAGGGUACAGGGUGAUACUCCCGUACACAAAGGCAUGCUUAUUGUGGGUUCGAAGAGUAGGGCGGGACACGUGAUAUCCUGUCUGAAGAUGGGGGGACCAUCCUCCAAGGCUAAAUACUCCUGACUGACCGAUAGUGAACCAGUACCGUGAGGGAAAGGCGAAAAGAACCCCGGCGAGGGGAGUGAAACAGAACCUGAAACCGUGUACGUACAAGCAGUGGGAGCCUUCUUUAUGGGGGUGACUGCGUACCUUUUGUAUAAUGGGUCAGCGACUUAUAUUCUGUAGCAAGGUUAACCGUAUAGGGGAGCCGCAGGGAAACCGAGUCUUAACUGGGCGUUAAGUUGCAGGGUAUAGACCCGAAACCCGGUGAUCUAGCCAUGGGCAGGUUGAAGGUUGGGUAACACUAACUGGAGGACCGAACCGACUAAUGUUGAAAAAUUAGCGGAUGACCUGUGGCUGGGGGUGAAAGGCCAAUCAAACCGGGAGAUAGCUGGUUCUCCCCGAAAGCUAUUUAGGUAGCGCCUCGUGAACUCAUCUUCGGGGGUAGAGCACUGUUUCGGCUAGGGGGCCAUCCCGGCUUACCAACCCGAUGCAAACUGCGAAUACCGAAGAAUGUUAUCACGGGAGACACACGGCGGGUGCUAACGUCCGUCGUGAAGAGGGAAACAACCCAGACCGCCAGCUAAGGUCCCAAAGUCAUGGUUAAGUGGGAAACGAUGUGGGAAGGCACAGACAGCCAGGAUGUUGGCUUAGAAGCAGCCAUCAUUUAAAGAAAGCGUAAUAGCUCACUGGUCGAGUCGGCCUGCGCGGAAGAUGUAACGGGGCUAAACCAUGCACCGAAGCUGCGGCAGCGAC
rnacentral:rRNA from 1 species